rnacentral:rRNA from 1 species
UACAGAGGUCCCAAGCGUUGUCCGGAAUCAUUGGGCGUAAAGCGCGUGUAGGCGGCUCGAUAAGUCCGGUGUGAAACCUUGGGGCUCAACCCCAAGCCUGCACUGGAUACUGCCGAGCUAGAGUCCGGGAGGGGAGAGCGGAAUUCCUAGUGUAGCGGUGAAAUGCGCAGAUAUUAGGAAGAACACCGGUGGCGAAGGCGGCUCUCUGGAACGGUACUGACGCUGAGACGCGAAAGCGUGGGGAGCGAACAGG